rnacentral:rRNA from 1 species
ACUACGGGCGGCAGCAGUGGGGAAUAUUGGGCAAUGGGCGCAAGCCUGACCCAGCAACGCCGCGUGAAGGAAGAAGGCUUUCGGGUUGUAAACUUCUUUUAUCAGGGACGAAGCAAGUGACGGUAACUGAUGAAUAAGCCACGGCUAACUACGGGCCAGCAGCCGCGGUAAUACGUAGGAGGCAAGCGUUAUCCGGAUUUACUGGGUGUAAAGGGGGGGGAGGCGGGAGUGCAAGUCAGAUGUGAUAACUAUGGGCUCAACCCAUAGCCUGCAUUUGCAACUGUACUUCUUGAGGGCUGGAGCGGCAAUCGGACUUCCGUUUGUAGCCGUGAAAUGCGUAGAUAUACGGAGGAACACCAGUGGCGAAGGCAUCUCACGAAUCCGCGAUUGACGCUGAUGCACGAAAGCGUGGGUAUCAAACAGGAUUAGAUACCCUUGUAGUC